AGCAGAUAUCCCAGAAUUUGUCUUCAUGGAUUGCAGCUUUCCUGGCAGCCCACAGGACUUUUUGCCUGGGUUACUCCCUGGUGUUUAAUUAGAGCUGGUUUACUGGUAUGUGGUGUUUGUGUGAGAGAGACCUUCAGCUAUUCUGAUGGUUUUGUGGGCCCCUUGGCCAUGUAAGAUCCUAAAGGGUAAGGAAGAGGUCUUCUCCUGGAAUCUGUUACAUGACAAUUACAGAAGGCCCUUGUUUUACACUGGGUUCUAGCACUGGGCUGGGCAUCCCAGACUGAAAAUCACAGUGGAAUGAGUUGACAUAUCCAAACCAAGCUGCUAGGUUAACCAUCAGUAGAGAAAAGCACAGUUUCCCAACUGGCCAGGCUCAGAGGGGAUGAAAAAGAAGCCCCCUUUGUUUUAAUUGACAUUAAAUUGGGCUGGGAAUAUGGCCUAGUGGCAAGAGUGCUUGCCUCCUACAUAUGAA